CAUGCAGUCGAGCGCGGGAAGCAAGCUGAUCCUCUUCGGAGGUGACGCUUGUGGAACGAGCGGCGGACGGGUGAGUAACACGUGGGCAACCUGCCUGUAAGACUGGGAUAACCCCGGGAAACCGGGGCUAAUACCGGAUAAUACUUUUCAUCACCUGAUGAGAAGUUGAAAGGUGGCUUUUAGCUACCACUUACAGAUGGGCCCGCGGCGCAUUAGCUAGUUGGUGAGGUAACGGCUCACCAAGGCAACGAUGCGUAGCCGACCUGAGAGGGUGAUCGGCCACACUGGGACUGAGACACGGCCCAGACUCCUACGGGAGGCAGCAGUAGGGAAUCUUCCGCAAUGGACGAAAGUCUGACGGAGCAACGCCGCGUGAGUGAUGAAGGUUUUCGGAUCGUAAAGCUCUGUUGUUAGGGAAGAACAAGUGCCGUUCGAAUAGGGCGGCACCUUGACGGUACCUAACCAGAAAGCCCCGGCUAACUACGUGCCAGCAGCCGCGGUAAUACGUAGGGGGCAAGCGUUGUCCGGAAUUAUUGGGCGUAAAGCGCGCGCAGGCGGUCCUUUAAGUCUGAUGUGAAAGCCCACGGCUCAACCGUGGAGGGUCAUUGGAAACUGGAGGACUUGAGUACAGAAGAGGAGAGUGGAAUUCCACGUGUAGCGGUGAAAUGCGUAGAGAUGUGGAGGAACACCAGUGGCGAAGGCGACUCUCUGGUCUGUAACUGACGCUGAGGCGCGAAAGCGUGGGGAGCGAACAGGAUUAGAUACCCUGGUAGUCCACGCCGUAA
rnacentral:rRNA from 1 species